AUACUUACCAGGCAGCAUGAUCAUAAAGGUAGUUUUCCCUGGGCGAGUCUUAUCUAUCCAUUGCGCUCCACAUGUGCUGAUCUCUGUAUAUAUCCCCAGAUGGGGGAAACUCAACUGCCUGAUUAGUGGUAGUGGCGGUCUACAUUGGCACUCUAA
rnacentral:snRNA from 1 species